rnacentral:tRNA from 1 species
GGGGUGGUGGCUCAGUGGUAGAGUGCUGGCCUCAUAUGUGUGAGGCACUGAGUUCGAUUCUCACCACCACA